rnacentral:lncRNA from 1 species
AUGCUCCUCUCUCAAGACUGGUAUACUUUCUCACUCUACUCCCUUUACAAAUGCCCUGAUCGAACUUUGCUGAUGAAAUUAUCUUUUCUUAGUUUCUUAGACUUUGGAUGGUGGAGACCUGUGCCUGCUACUUCUCUCAUCUCCCGAUACCUAAUGCAUAGUGUUCAGGCACCAAGGAAGAGAACCAAUGGCAGAAGUCACACGUGCAAGCAAGAUGGGAGUCUGGAGAGCCUCAGGCUAAAUCACCAGUGCUCAGCCCUCUUCUCUUUCAAAGAUCAAAUUCUGGGAGUUUACAUUUCUGAAACUUGGGUCAAGGUCCUGACCAAUCCUCAAAAGAGCAACUGUGUGGACAUCUGUGGCAAUGGUAAGAGUUCUUUAGUGGCCAGUCAGCUCUGUUGUUCUCUCCAGCUAAAUGAAGGCAAGUAAUAUGAAAAGUAGGUCCAAGCACA